AUCCUUCAGGAAGUGACAUAAUUUUGGAGGGAAACCAACAGCACUAACAUUAGGAAGUAGACGAAUGAAUCCCACUUAUGAUCUCCCAAGAACAAACAAAAUGAUCUCUAGCCGAACGCACAAUGUUUACGUUUGGAUUCUAGAGGAAUGGAAGCUCAGAGGAAACUGGUUUCCUGACAGAUACCGACAUGUCAUUGCUGAGAUCUCUGCAAAAAACCUUGGCCGCACCAAAGAAUCAAGCUGUCUGGUCAAGAAAAA